rnacentral:rRNA from 1 species
CCUAUCAGCUUGUUGUGGGGUGAUGGGCCUACCAAGGCGACGACGGGUAGCCGGCCUGAGAGGGUGUCCGGCCACACUGGGACUGAGAUACGGCCCAGACUCCUACGGGAGGCAGCAGUGGGGAAUAUUGCACAAUGGGCGCAAGCCUGAUGCAGCGACGCCGCGUGGGGGAUGACGGCCUUCGGGUUGUAAACCUCUUUCAGUAGGGACGAAGCGUAAGUGACGGUACCUAUAGAAGAAGCACCGGCCAACUACGUGCCAGCAGCCGCGGUAAUACGUAGGGUGCGAGCGUUGUCCGGAAUUACUGGGCGUAAAGAGCUCGUAGGUGGUUUGUCGCGUUGUUCGUGAAAACUCACAGCUUAACUGUGGGGCGUGCGGGCGAUACGGGCAGACUGGAGUACUGCAGGGGAGACUGGAAUUCCUGGUGUAGCGGUGGAAUGCGCAGAUAUCAGGAGGAACACCGGUGGCGAAGGCGGGUCUCUGGGGCAGUAACUGACGCUGAGGAGCGAAAGCGUGGGGAGCGAAC